UACAGAGGUCUCAACCGUUGUUCGGAUUCAUUGGGCGUAAAGGGUGCGUAGGCGGUCGUGCAAGUCGGAUGUGAAAUCUCAGGGCUCAACCCUGAAACUGCAUUCGAUACUGCGUGGCUAGAGUGCUGGAGAGGAGACUGGAAUUCAUGGUGUAGCAGUGAAAUGCGCAGAUAUCAUGAGGAAGGCCAGUGGCGAAGGCGGGUCUCUGGACAGUUACUGACGCUGAGGCACGAAGGCCAGGGGAGCAAACGGG
rnacentral:rRNA from 1 species